CUCAUAGCGUAUAUUAAGUUGUUGCAGUUAGAACGCUCGUAGUCGGAUUUCGGGGCAGUCCGACCGGUCUGCCGAUGGGUAUGCACUGGCCGGAGUGUCCUUUUUGCCGGAGACCGUGCCUACUCUUAACUGAGCGGGGGCGGGAGACGGCACUUUUACUUUGAAAAAAUCAGAGUGUUUCAAGCAGGCAGCUCGCUCUUGCAUGGAUUAGCAUGGGAUAAUGAAAUAGGACUUUGGUGCUAUUUUGUUGGUUUCGAACACCGAAGUAAUGAUGAGAAGGGACAGUCAGGGGCACUCGUAUUCCGCAGAGAGAGGUGAAAUUCUCAGACCCGCGGAAGACGAACCACUGCGAAAGCAUUUGCCAGGGAUGUUUUCACUGAUCAAGAACGAAAGUUAGGGGAUCGAAGAUGAUCAGAUACCGUCGUAGUCUUAACCAUAAACCAUGCCGACUAGGGAUUGGAGGAUGUUCACUGAUUGACUCCUUCAGCACCUUACGGGAAACUAAAGUCUUUGGGUUCCGGGGGGAGUAUGGUCGCAAGGCUGAAACUUAAAGGAAUUGACGGAAGGGCACCACCAGGUGUGGAGCCUGCGGCUUAAUUUGACUCAACACGGGGAAACUUACCAGGUCCAGACAUUGUGAGGAUUGACAGAUUGAGAGCUCUUUCUUGAUUCGAUGGGUGGUGGUGCAUGGCCGUUCUUAGU
rnacentral:rRNA from 1 species